rnacentral:rRNA from 1 species
AUUGAACGCUGGCGGCAGGCCUAACACAUGCAAGUCGAGCGGAUGAAGGGAGCUUGCUCCUGGAUUCAGCGGCGGACGGGUGAGUAAUGCCUAGGAAUCUGCCUGGUAGUGGGGGAUAACGUCCGUAAACGGGCGCUAAUACCGCAUACGUCCAGAGGGAGAAAGUGGGGGAUCUUCGGACCUCACGCUAUCAGAUGAGCCUAGGUCGGAUUAGCUAGUUGGUGGGGUAAAGGCCUACCAAGGCGACGAUCCGUAACUGGUCUGAGAGGAUGAUCAGUCACACUGGAACUGAGACACGGUCCAGACUCCUACGGGAGGCAGCAGUGGGGAAUAUUGGACAAUGGGCGAAAGCCUGAUCCAGCCAUGCCGCGUGUGUGAAGAAGGUCUUCGGAUUGUAAAGCACUUUAAGUUGGGAGGAAGGGCAGUAAGUUAAUACCUUGCUGUUUUGACGUUACCAACAGAAUAAGCACCGGCUAACUUCGUG